AUAGAGUCGUAGUAGACCACUACGUUGAUAGGCUGGAUGUGGAAGCGCGGUAACGCGUGUAGCUGACCAGUACUAAUAACUCAAUUGGCUUGAUUUAUG
rnacentral:rRNA from 1 species